AGGUGCAUUAAUGUGUGGUGGAGGGAGAUGAAUCGGGCUGGCACCGAGGAGGAACCGUGGAAGUCGAUUAGGCUACAUGUCUUGAUGAUCAAGGCGCGCACGGUCGCUUAUUUUUUAUUUAUUUUUUGAGAAUCACGCGCACGGUCGUUUGGGAGGGCACAGGGCAGGGAGCAGCCCGCAGGAGGGCGACUCUCUCUGUAGGGCUGGUGCACAGCGC
rnacentral:lncRNA from 1 species